CCUGCGUCCCUGAUGGUUUAUAUAGCGCUAUAGUUGCGUGUCUAUCAGCGGAGGAGCGUUGGACCAAUCACUACUGCGGUGGGGAUAUGUACUGCACAUUCGAAGGAACGAGUUCAAAUCCAUUCAUCAAAGAAUCAAAAGGUAAAUCUAUAUCUCUUAUACGGACGUCACACGAAGCGUAAACUUUGGCGUAAACUGGAUUUCAGCCAUACAACCAAGGACCGUAAAGAUAUCAGGUCAAGUUAUAAGCCCGAUUUGACAGCUAGGUGGAAGAAGAAUCGACAAAGAAAACUGACAGUUAGUUUUCCGCUUGUCUUUACACGCAUUGUUAUUGUGUGAGUGUGCGAAUCAUGACUACAAUGUUUACAAUCCAAGAGCUGUACAGUAAAUUAAAUAAGAUUCGGUGCUUUCAAAUAAAAUUGGAUAGAAAAUUGAAAAAGUUUUGUAAUUUGCAUUACAUACAGUCCAUCACGGUGCCGCAUCGUACCAGCAGGUCGAUAAAUGUUGUGAAUGAAGGAACGGCGGUAUAUUAGGAAUGGUUGUUUGAGCAGCACGAUGGCAGCGAAGCGGUGAACCAACGCCACUUUGUUGGGCGGUGGAAGUAAAUGUAGUAGCCACUGAUAACCGACAAGAAUAUUUUGGUGAUGAUGAAGUGUACCUCUGUUUGGAAGGUCUAUUCGACGAACAAUUCAUAUCGCCGGUGAUUAGCUACGAGGUAAGCGGCAUAGGUAUGCUUCUUCAUGCCGUAUGAUUAAACAUCCCUUCGCCACUGGGACACCGUGUGACGGAACCGUUCAAAACUAGCUUGAAGCUGCGCUAGCUAGUGAUGAAGUCUCUCCCGACGAAGGUGUGCGCAAGCUACUUUGUACCCCGGCUGCUGGUGAUCUAGGAACGGCAGCCCAGGAUUUGGUAAGAGGCAAACAAGGCAUCAACGCCUAUCGAGUGCAAUUGCAGGAAGAGUGCCUGCUGUGUAUAUGGAGCUUUUCGUUAGCAAGCAUUUAGUUUACUGGACGGGGGCAAAUCAUAAUCUAAGCCAGGAGCUACGGCGGCAUACCGAGUGGUCUCGUUUUCGUUGACGGCUGCUGGAACAAAAAUGCCAAAAGAUGUACGGUGGAAUGCAGAAACGCUAUCUGACGUUCGGGCGGGGAAGGAGCAGCAGGAACUUGAAGAAGUUGUCUUGCGCUAGCCAAGAGAGGAGUCAAGUCAUAGACAACAUUAACAAUAUAUCGUUGCCAAACGCGGAAUCGUACACGGACGCAACGCCGCAGCUGACCCUCAGUUUUGGAUGUGUUACUCGUGCUGUUAGAUGUGUUCCUCGUUUUUACAUAUUCCCUUACGAAAUCUUAUAAACUAUACCGGUUUCCGUUCGAAGAAAGAGGACUACAUUUAAAUUCUGCCAACGAUGGAUCGUUCUGGACAGAUUGACUAUUUUGCCGUAAAAUCUCACAUCGCC